rnacentral:rRNA from 1 species
CCUACGGGUGGCUGCAGUGGGGAAUUUUGCGCAAUGGGCGAAAGCCUGACGCAGCAACGCCGCGUGGAGGAUGAAGGUCUUUGGAUUGUAAACUCCUGUCAGCGGGGAAAAAGGGACUCGGCCGAAUACGCCGGGGACUUGAUUGUACCCGCAGAGGAAGCCCCGGCUAACUCUGUGCCAGCAGCCGCGGUAAUACAGAGGGGGCAAGCGUUAUUCGGAAUUAUUGGGCGUAAAGGGCGCGUAGGCGGCUUUUCAAGUGACGGGUGAAAUCCCUCGGCUUAACCGAGGAACUGCCUGUCAGACUGGAUUGCUUGAGGCCGGGAGAGGCGAGUGGAAUUCCCAGUGUAGCGGUGAAAUGCGUAGAUAUUGGGAGGAACACCAGUGGCGAAGGCGGCUCGCUGGACCGGUUCUGACGCUGAGGCGCGAAAGCGUGGGGAGCA